UACGGGGGGAGCAAGCGUUGUUCGGAUUUACUGGGCGUAAAGGGCGCGUAGGCGGCCACCGCAAGUCGACUGUGAAAUCUCCGGGCUUAACCCGGAACGGUCAGCCGAUACUGCGGGGCUAGAGUGCAGAAGGGGCAACUGGAAUUCUCGGUGUAGCGGUGAAAUGCGUAGAUAUCAGGAGGAACACCAAUGGCGAAGGCAGCUCGCUGGGACGGUACUGACGCUGAGGCGCGAAAGCGUGGGGAGCAAACAGG
rnacentral:rRNA from 1 species